GGGUAGUUAAGAUUCAUCAGACAGAAUAUUUAUUCUUGAUUCUCUAAUGUUGAAUGUAGCCAAUAUAUAUACAUUAACAAGGAGAUAUGGAAUCUGAAUUAUAAAAAUUUAAAGGGAGAUAACUCAUGAUUUUUCAAUAUAAAUUUAAAAAGAAACGUACUGCAAAUUUAUACCAUUUUCUAUGUAGUAGGAAAACAAUAUUUAUUUUCUUAUUCUGAAGGUAUUUAAUGAAACCAAUUCAUCAAACAUUCUUUUUAAAUAAUCAUGGGACUGAUGGACGGACUGACAGAAGGAUGGACAGAGGUAAAACAGUAUACCCCAACUUUUUUAAAGCUCAGGGGUAUAAAUAGAAUAUAUAUAUUUUUUUUAAAAAGGAGAAUAUUUUCUAACUUUAGUUGGUAAAAUAAGAAAGAGAAAACUUUCCAACAAAAAGUUGCUAAAAUAAAUUUGAAACAUAAAUUGAAUGUGCUUCCUCCUGUUUAUAAAUAUUUACUCUAUUGUUUGGUUGUCAUCUGUUAUUUCAUCUCAUUUAAAAGAAAAUGUAAAUUGUUUAUAAUUUGAUUUAUAUUUACACCAUUUCAUUAUGACUAAAUACUUAAAUUUAAGAUUUUACAGCAUUAUGGUUGUCAAAAACAGUCAAACAGCAAUAAGAUCUAACUUUUUAGCACAUUCACACAAACUGUGAUGCCCUAGACUUUCAAAAUAUUCUAAAUGUGAUUUUGAAAGACUAAUUCCUUCUUUUGGUGGAAUUUUGCAAAUCUUUAGCAUCAACGCACUCAAUAUGAUAAUGCACUUU
rnacentral:lncRNA from 1 species